rnacentral:misc_RNA from 1 species
GGAAGGAUCAUUAACAGUUUAUAUGUUUAUGUCUGUUGUUGUUGUGAUGUGUGUAAUGUGUGAAUUGCCAUUCUUUUGGUUUGGCAAUGCUAUUUUUUAACAACCAUGUUUUUUUACCUGUCUUAUAUACCAUACAUAUACAAUUAUCGAAAACUGCCAGCAAUGGAUCACUCGGUUCUUGCAUCGAUGAAGAGCGUAACGAAUUGCGAAAAGUUUUGUGAUUUGUAACAUUUGUGAAUCAUUGAAUUCUUGAACGCAUAUUGCACCGUGUGAGCAAUUGCACGGUUUGCCUGUUUGAGUAUUGACCUAUGUUUAUGUCAACACACAUGUUUGUGUGUGUGUUGGAUGAUGAAUGUUUCAUACUACCGUGUGUGGUGUGACAUUUGCAAUGAAGGGAAGAAAGAGUGCGUAAUAUAAUCUUACCACGCACAAUUGUGCCCACUGAGUUUUAUAUCUACACACACUCACACACUCUCUCACUCAGUCAAUAUAUAUAUAUAUGUACAAUUGCAAUCUCAAAUCAGGCAAGAUUACCCGCUCAACUUAAGCAUAUCAAUCAGCGGAGGAAAAGAAACCAACAGGGAUUCCCUUAGUAACGGCGAGUGAAGCGGGAACAGCUCAGGCUGAAAAUCAACCGUGCACCUGUGCUACGUGUUGACGUGUGGUCUGACGAGACGAGCUCGGCGACAGCAACCACUCAAGUUUUCUGGAAAGAAACACCGAGGAGGGUGACAGUCCCGUUCGCAGUGGUUGCACUGAGAGUUGCCAUGAGGGCCGUCUUCAGAGAGUCGGGUUGCUUGGGAGUGCAGCCCAAAUGCGGUGGUAUACGCCAUCCAAGGCUAAAUAUCAGCAAGAGACCGAUAGCGAACAAGUACUGUGAAGGAAAGUUGAAAAGAACUCUGAAGAGAGAGUCAAACGAGCACGUGAAAUUGCUGGCAGGGAAGCGCUGGGCGUCAGUGACACGGACACGAGAUCAGGAUGAUUGACGGUGGUCUGUAAUGGUGCUGCUGUUAUCAUCUGCAAGCUUGUGUGUUUUUGUGGGUCAGCAUCGGUUACACACAAGCUUAAUGACGGCAUGGUUCACGUUGCCUUUGGCAGGGUGGGCGGUGUGCGGUUGACGUUUGUUGUGACCGAGGAAAUGAAGGAUGACUUGUGUUUAGGAGUGGUUGUGUGACAAAUGACUGGGCAACAACAACGUUAGUUGAUGUUGUACGGGACAAAUGUUACGAGCAGCCACACUGCACCCAUUCUACAGAUGCUGACGAAAUGAUGUUCAUCGACCCGUCUUGAAACACGGACCAAGGAGUCCAGCACACACGCGAGUAUUAGAGUGACAAACUCUGAUGCAUAACCAACGUGACACAUUGUCCCAAUUCUGUACAGAAUGCAAGACAAGCCAAUCCUUACAUACGUCAUGUGUGUGGAUUGAGCAGGAGCGAGUGUGCCGGGACCCGAUAGACGGUGAACUAUGCCUGAGCAGGAUGAAGCCAGAGGAAACUCUGGUGAAAGUCCGCAGCGGUUCUGACGUGCAAAUCGAUCGUCGGACUUGGGCAUAGGGGCGAAAGACUAAUCGAACCGUUUAGUAGCUGGUUCCCGC